CCCAAGGGUCUGCGGGCCGCGGGGACUUGCUGGCGGGCCUGGAGGCGGGGGGGAGGGGGGGGGCAGGCUGACGCGUCGCCUCUGGGAGAACCGGGAGACCCGCGGCGAGCAGAGUUGAGGACCGGCCAGCGGGGCGUCCCGGGGCUAGACCUGGGAGAUGUCCGAGUGACUGGGGGCGCCCCGGCCGUGCAAGCCUGAGAUACAGAUUGAACUUCAGACAAGGCCGGACUACCCUGUAAACCAGAGACAACUUUUCAUUUGAAUGAACAGAAUCACAGACUACAAUGAAAGGGGGAAAAAAUGUAUCUUGACCGUGACAGUACAUAGAAGCUGUCUUACUCACCACUGUUGGAAUAUCAUAGAGACAAUCUCCUGUGCUGCCUCCCACUGGCUGAACCCAAGAGGAAACCUACGGGCAAGUGAGCCCUGAUGACAUUGUCCUUCAAGGCCAGCCUCCAGAAAAUGAUGGAGGGUAAAUCUGGAAGGACAAAGGCACAAUAUCUAGCAGUGAGCAUUGUGAUAGGGGAAGUAUGAGGAGCUGAGUGGCCGCCUGGGAGAAUAAUGGACUCCAUCUCCGGAGAUAAGGGAAGGCUUCAGGGGUGGAGGAAGGAAGGAAGAUUGAAGGAACCACAGAUCAUUCGCUCUGAUGGAAGCCAGCUGCCAUGUUGCAAGCUGCCCUAAAGAGAGGUCCCCAUGGCAAGAAGCUGAGGGAGGUCUCGAGUCAACAGCCAGCUAGGAACUGGGGCUUCAAUCCAAUAACCCAAGAACAAUUGAGACCUACCAACAGCCACAGGAGUGGAGCUUGGAAGCAGAACGUUCUUCAGUCAAGCCUUCAGAUGAGACUGCAGUCCCUCUGGACGGUUUGACUAUAACUUCAUGUGAGACUUUGAGUCCAAACCACCCAACCAUGAUGGUCCCAAGUUUCUGACCCAUAGAAAUUGUGAGAUAUUUGUUGUAAUUUUCUUUUUUUUUUUUAAUUUUUUUUAACGUUUAUUUAUUUUUGAGACAGAGAGAGACAGAGCAUGAACAGGGGAGGGUCAGAGAGAGGGAGACCCAGAAUCUGAAACAGGCUCCAGGCUCUGAGCCGUCAGCACAGAGCCCGACGCGGGGCUCGAACUCACGGACCGCGAGAUCAUGACCUGGGCCGAAGUCGGCUGCUUCACUGACUGAGCCACCCAGGCGCCCGUGUUGUGUUAAUUUUCUAAGUUUGGGGGGUAAUUUGUUAUGCAGAAAUAGACAACUAAUUCAUCAGAUCACUGAAAAUGAGGGGGAAAUAAUGAGAAAGGUUUCCAGGUCCUAGCAUGGUUGGAUGACUUUCUCCAGCAGCCCUCGACAACUCCACACAAUGUGCUCAUCCACUUUCUAUACCAUCGAUAUUAUGCAAUGUCCAACAGUAUCUUUUUCCCCCAAUGAUAUCUUUUGAUAAAGGAAUUUUGCCAAAAGCUUAUUUAGCUUUCUUACCAAGCAAAUUUAUCAUUAUUAACAUUAUGACUGACUGUAAAAGCUUCUUAGCCAGAAUGUGACUGUUUUGGCUUUAAAAAAUGCAAACUUUAAGGAUGCCUUUAUAGUUUUGACCACUUCUCCUUAUGUUUAGGGGUAAAUGUUAUCAAUGUCAUUAGGAAGCACUAUUCUGUGAGCUCUUCUUCCAGAAAAAUUUGUUUUAUCAGAUUGGCCACUGAGGUUUUCUUAACAAUGGCACUACAGGGCACCUGGGUGGCUCAGUUGGUUGAGCGGCCGACUUCAGCUCAGGUCAUGAUCUCAUAGCUUGUGGGUUCGAGUCCUGCCUCAGGCUCUGUGCUGACAGCUCAGAACCUGGAGCCUGCUUCGGAUUCUUUGUCUCCCUCUCUCUCUGCCCCUGUCCUGCUCAUGCUCUGUCUCUGUCUCUCUGUAUCUCAAAAAUAAAUACACAUUAAGAAAAAAAUUUUUUAAAUAAGUAAAUAUUUUUUAAAAAAAUUUUUAAUGGCACUAUGACUUCAUUGGCUUUGUGCCACUAUUUGACCAAGGUUUAUAGCAUAAUAUACUGGGAACCAGGGCAAAAUAGAUUACCAGUUUAAUAAAACAUAUGUCUUAGAGGUUUAUCAUAUUUCUUAUUAGCAAUUUUCCCAUUCAGCUGCUCAUCAUAAUUCAUCAUGCUUGUGGAUUACCCAAUCCCAGCAUAGACAGAGUCACCCUGUGUAUUUAUUUGCACUGGAUUCCUGGUUAAUGUUUCACUUACAACGUUCUUUUCCACCCCCCUGAGUUUAAAAGUAUUCAGCAUACUGAUUUAAUUAACUUUCAGCUAACUAAUUGAAUUCCUGAAUUGUAUUACUGAUCUACUUUUGCGAAUUUAAAAGACAACAUAACACAAUACAUUUCAAAUUUAACACAUAAACAAUAACACAUAUUGUGAAACAACAUGUCCACACCCUACUAAUUGCACAUUAGCUGAGACAAACUGUAGAGCUAACGCAACCUAAACCUUAAGAGCAAAAUGAUUAUUGAGAGUAUAACAGGAUUUCUGAGAAAAUCGUACUUAACAUGACAUCUAAAGUUUGUGAAAUAGGUGUGAAUAAAGAUUCUCAUCCCAAUAAAAUAGCCUGUAGACAACUUAAUGGGUCCCUGGGUCCAGAGACCACAUAUUGGAAGAAGGCUGAUAGAUGGGGAAGAAAAAAAAUAUAUAUCGCAGAGUCACGUGACCAGAGGACUCACUGAAAUACAAAAAAUGUAAAUGGAUGAAAAGGCGAAAAAUUGAAAGGAAAUGUACAGUGUGAUCCCAUUUAUGUAAAAAAGUGAGUGUAAAUUUUAAGCACAUAGGAAGAAAGCACUGGAAGGAAAAAUUGUUAUCAGUGAUCAGCCUAGGGAGGGGAGGGGCUAGGAGAGCAAAGGGAACCUUCAUGUUCUACUCUAUAUGCGUUUCUUUUUUUUAAUGUUUAUUAUUUAUUUUUGAGAGAGAGAGAGAGAGGAAGAAUGCUCAGCAGGCCCUGCACUGUCAGCACAGAGCCUGCCACGGGGCUUGAACCCACGAUCCAUGAAAUCAUGACCUGAGCCAAAAUCAGGAGUCGGACUUAUAACCAGCUGAGCCACCCAGGUGCCCCAUGUAUGCCUCUUAUUAAUUUCAAAUUGUGGUCAAAUACACAUAACACAAAAUUUACUAAACUACCUUUAAGUAUAGAGUUCAACAGUGUUAAGUAUAUUCACAUUGUUGUGCAACCAAUCUCUAGAACUCUAUCAUCUGAAAAAGUUGAAACUCUUUACCAAUAGCAACUUCCAAUUUCCUUCUUCCCCCAACCCCUGGUGACCAUUUUUCCACUUUCUGUCUCUAUGAAUUUGACUAUUCUAGCUCCCUCAUAUAAGUGGUAUCAUUUCAAUAUUUGUCCAUUUGUAUCUGGUUUAUUUCACUUAACAUAAUGUCUUCAAGGUUCAUUCAUGUUGUAGCCUUUAUCAGAAAUUCAUUUCUUUUUAAGCCUGAAUGAUAUUCCAUUGCAUGUUUAUUCCACAUUUUGUUCAUUCAGUCAUUCAUUCAUGGACACAUAGGUUGCUUCCACCUUUUGGGUGUUGUGAAUAGUGCUCCUCUGAACACAGGCGUGCAAAUACCUCUUCAAGACCCUUUUAGUUCUUUUCGGUAUGUACCCAGAAGUGGGAUGGCUGGAUUGCCUGUCUUGUUCUGAUCUUUUAUGAUGAGAAUGUACUCGUGUAUUAUUCAUAUAGUUCAAACAUACAGAGAAAUGAAAAAGAAGUCACUAUCAGAGUGUGAGUUAUGGGCAUACAAGGUUUCAGAGGUAGAGUAGUACCUGAACGUGGCCCAAGUACGAAUUGUGUAUAUCCAACAAAUGACGUCUUAGGCUUGCUCAAAUUUCCUCUGUGGUAAGAGAGCACCUACAGAGCCAGCUAACCCAGUUCCUUAAGGUAUGGGCAAAGUUGGAAAAACCAAACUGGAUUAUUCAAAUGUAUUUUUCAGUUUCCUGCCCCUACACCUUUAUUGCCUCAAUUCCCUCCACUGGGUAUAUCCUUCACCUGCCAACUUGACCCAAAUGUCCUCUCCCUUCUGAGGCCCCUUUUAACCUCCCCAACGAAAUUGACUCUUGCUACAUCUGAAGCCCCACAGGGCUUUGUGCCUCUCUUAGGGCUCUUUUCUUCACAACACAAAGAUUAAGUGAGGCUCAUACCCAUUAAGAUGGUUAUAGAGCCUCAUCUUUCGACUUGAAUUCAACAUUCACAAGCGUAGGCCAAACGCUGUAUUAGCCAGGAUUUAGGUUAGAACCCAUAGUCAACAUUUAUUGACAAAUACUUAAUAAGUAUUUGCUAUGAGUUUGGCACUAUUAUGUAGUCCCUGCCCUCAUGGGGUUUAUGUGUAUUUUCUUCCACAGGCCUUCCUAUUUUGGAAAAAUCGGGAAUUCAUUUUCAACUCAAUAAGUAUGGGUACCUAAGGGCAGCAGUGGGAGAUGACACAUGUACACAUCCAUACAUUUGAAAUUCAACAAAUAUUUACUGGGUAUCUAAUACGUGCCAGGUUGUACGUUCGCCACUGGGAAUUUAACAAUGAACAAAUCAUCGAUGCUUUUUCUUUCUUUUUCUUUCUCAUAACAGCUUUAUUGUAGUAUAACUCAGACACCAUACAGUACCCCAAUUAAAGUGUACAAUUCAGUGGUUUUUAGUGUAUUCACAAAGUAGUACAAUUAUCACCAGUAUUUUCAACACCCUUCAAAAGAAACCCCCUAACCAGUAGCAAUCACUCCCCGUUUCUCCCAACCCUCAGCAACCAUUUCAUUCUCUCUCUCUAUUUUUGCCUAUUCGGACAUUUUGUAUAAAUGGAAUCAUACAGUU